CUCGUAGCUUGCUAUGAGAACAGUUAGUGGCAGACGGGUGAGUAAUGCAUAGGAAUCUACCUAGUAGUAUAGGAUAGCCACUAGAAGUGGUGGGUAAUACUGUAUAAUCCCCGCGGGGGAAAGAUUUAUCGCUACAUGAUGAGCCUAUGUUAGAUUAGCUAGUUGGUGGGGUAAUGGCCUACCAAGGCAGUGAUCUAUAGCUGGUCUGAGAGGAUGAUCAGCCACACUGGAACUGAGACACGGUCCAGACUCCUACGGGAGGCAGCAGUGGGGAAUAUUGGACAAUGGGCGCAAGCCUGAUCCAGCUAUGCCGCGUGAGUGAGGAAGGCCUUAGGGUUGUAAAACUCUUUCAGUGGGGAAGAUAAUGACGGUACCCACAGAAGAAGUCCCGGCAAACUCCGUGCCAGCAGCCGCGGUAAUACGGAGGGGGCAAGCGUUGUUCGGAAUUAUUGGGCGUAAAGGGCAUGUAGGUGGUUUGGUUAGUUAAAGGUGAAAUGCCAGGGCUUAACCCUGGAGCUGCUUUUAAUACUGCCAGACUGGAGUCCGGGAGA
rnacentral:rRNA from 1 species